CGGAAUCUGCAGUUCCUGGAAUGCCCGGAACCCCACUUUGCUGGCUGGUAAUUGUCUGCCCAGCAGGUGGCAGCAGAGUUGCGUUGCUCCUGAGCGCUGUAAGGACAGCACGGAGAUGCGCGGCUCUUCAGGCAGCAGCAAGGAACCGGAAUCUGCAUUUCCUGGGGUGCCCGGAACCCCGCUUUGCUGGCCGGUAAUUGUCUGCCCAGCAGGUGAAGAUGCCUUCGACGCUUCCAGUCGAUGACUUCCCCCCUGCGACGCCAUUGGCUUUCCAGGCCUCCCACACUCACCGCCAGCUCGGUUCGGUCAACCGUUACCCGAAUCCCCGCUCCGUUUCCUUUCCAUGAUCUUCCCGUCACUCUGCCACAAGCCCCUACCAAGGUCAUCGCAGGCAGCGUGUGGGAUGCGGCGCUCGGUCUCAUUGCAGUUCAUCCCAUCGGCCUCAGCCCAGCGAUCCAACCCACCCGCACCCUUCCUGAGGGCCCUUCUGCUCCCAGGCCAAUCAACGCUUCCUUCUGAUGCCAUCUGCGUUCCUUCCAGGCCAUUUUCAGACUCGUGCCCCUUUGUGGCCAUUUUGAGAGUUGUGCUGAUUUCAGCAUGUGCAUUCAAUUGACUUCAACCAAAUUGGCUUUAGCUUUACAUUCAAUUGGCUUCAACCAAAUUGGCUUUAGUUUUACAUUCAAUUGACUUCAACCAAAUUGGCUUUAGUUUUACAUUCAAUUGGCUUCAACCAAAUUGACUUUAGCUUUACAUCCAAUUAAUGUAAGCCAAAUUGGCUUUAGCUUUGCCUUGGUUACGGGGUUGGGCUAGCCUUGCUUUGUUUGCUCCUAGGCAGGGCUAACCCAACCCCGUAACCAAGGGCCGUUGGAGGCGAUUUUGUUCCUUCCGGCCAGUCUGAGACUCGCGCCCCAUUGCGGCCAUUUUGAGAGUUGCGCUGAUUUCAGCAUCUGCGUUCAAUUUAUCUCAACCAAAUUGGCUUUAGCCUUGCAAUCAUUUUGCAUCAACCAAAUUGCCUUUAGCCUUGCAUUCAAUUGACUUCAACCAAAUUGGCUUUAGCCUUGCAUUCAAUUGACUUCAACCAAAUUGGCUUUAGCUUUACAUUCAAUUGGCUUCAACCAAAUUGGCUUUAGCUUUACAUUCAAUUAAUGUAAGCCAAAUUGGCUUUAGCUUUGCCUUGGUUACGGGGUUGGGCUAGCCUUGCUUUGUUUGCUCCUAGGCAGGGCUAACCCAACCCCGUAACCAAGGGCCGUUGGAGGCGAUUUUGUUCCUUCCCGGCCAGUCUGAGACUCGCGCCCCAUUGCGGCCAUUUUGAGAGUUGCGCUGAUUUCAGCAUCUGCAUUCAAUUUAUCUCAACCAAAUUGGCUUUAGCCUUGCAAUCAUUUUGCAUCAACCAAAUUGGCUUUGGCUUUGCAUUCAAUUGGCUUCAACCAAAUUGGCUUUGGCCUUGCAAUCAUUUUGCAUCAACCAAAUUGGCUUUAGCCUUGCAUUCAAUUGACUUCAACCAAAUUGGCUUUAGCUUUACAUUCAAUUGGCUUCAACCAAAUUGGCUUUAGCUUUACAUUCAAUUAAUGUAAGCCAAAUUGGCUUUAGCUUUGCCUUGGUUACGGGGUUGGGCUAGCCUUGCUUUGUUUGCUCCUAGGCAGGGCUAACCCAACCCCGUAACCAAGGGCCGUUGGAGGCAGUUUUGUUCCUUCCGGCCAGUCUGAGACUCGCGCCCCUUUGUGGCCGUUCUGAGAAUUGCAAUGUCUUUGGGUGGGCUGAGAUCUGCACUGCUUUUGAGGUGGGUUGCAGUAUGCAACAUUCUCACAAGUGUGGUGUCACUAAUGGGUUGUGGAGGCUUUGUACCCUUUCUCUGGUUGGUCUGACAUCUAUGCGAACCAUGUCUUAAAGUGUACUGCGUAUGCGUGUGCUGCGCCUGUAAAUUGCGUCGUGCCAUGUAUGCAAUAUGUGUUAAGUUGCGCCUGUAAACUGAGUUGUGCCAUGUACAGAAUGUGUGGAUGCUGCGCCUAUAAACUAAGUCUUGGAAUCAGAGACCCAUAUUCAUUACAUGUUCUGCUUCUCAAUGUGUCGUUGCUGGUAUAGCGCGUAUGUAUAUG